GACGAACGCUGGCGGCGUGCUUAACACAUGCAAGUCGAACGGAAAGGCCCCCAUCUUGGUGGGGGUGCUCGAGUGGCGAACGGGUGAGUAACACGUGGGUGAUCUGCCCUGUACUUCGGGAUAAGCUUGGGAAACUGGGUCUAAUACCGGAUAGGACCAUGGUUUAGUGUCUCAUGGUGGAAAGAUUAUUGUUUUGGUGCAGGAUGAGCUCGCGGCCUAUCAGCUUGUUGGUGGGGUAAUGGCCUACCAAGGCGUCGACGGGUAGCCGGCCUGAGAGGGUGGACGGCCACAUUGGGAGUGAGAUACGGCCCAGACGCCUAAGGGAGGCAGCAGGGGGGAAUAGUGCAAAAUGGGCGCAAGCCUGAUGCAGCGACGGCGCGUGGGGGAUGACGGCCUUCGGGUUGUAAACUCCUUUCGUUAGGGACGAAGCCGCACUUUUUUUGGGUGUGGUGACGGUACCUUUGUUAAGAAGCACCGGCUAACUACGUG
rnacentral:rRNA from 1 species